rnacentral:rRNA from 1 species
CUACUGGGGUAUCUAAUCCUGUUCGCUCCCCACGCUUUCGCUCCUCAGCGUCAGUAACGGCCCAGAGACCCGCCUUCGCCACCGGUGUUCUUCCUGAUAUCUGCGCAUUCCACCGCUACACCAGGAGUUCCAGUCUCCCCUACCGCACUCAAGUCAGCCCGUACCCACCGCACGCCCCCAGUUAAGCCAGAGGAUUUCACGGCAGACGCGACCAACCGCCUACAAGCCCUUUACGCCCAAUAAUUCCGGACAACGCUCGCGCCCUACGUAUUACCGCGGCUGCUGGCAC